AGGUCACUCUCGGGUUUCCCGGCCACCAUAAAGGGCCACGUCUGCGGGAAAGAAGAGGGUGGAGGAGGAUAUACUAAAAGAAGACAGAUCAGUCUCUCUCCUGAUAAGAAGAGUCACCAAGAGGAACAUCUGCAACAACUAGACAGAUGCUGCUACAAAGAGACCAAUCAACAACUGCUCAGCAGAGAUACAGAUCUGAAGCACAGAAGUGCAAUAGACCUUCCUGAUGCCUUCGCCAGACAACACGAACCUGCAAGUAAUCAUCCGACCAACUUCCUCUACUGCUUGGGAAUUGCAGGUUGUAUAAUCUUGGGAGGUCACUUCAACUAUACAAUUGGACUAAGAACACUGACUCUCGUGGGUGUUAUAAUUAAAUCAGGUAAUAUAUGGUAAGGUAAGCAUUGAUUAGUCUCUUCAUUAGUUGAUUAGCCUCUUCAAA
rnacentral:lncRNA from 10 species